UCUGGUAAGCGGCCGGCCAUCUGCUGCUGCUUCUAUUUGUGGGGAGUUAUUCAACUCCUCACAAACCAACUGCACUAAGGCUAGUAAAAUCUCAGUGGUUAAUAAUUACUCAAUCAAACUUUAGUUCCUCCUAGUUUAAUGAAAUUACCUGCUCUGCGAAACCCGAGUCACAAGGCCUGUAGCCACACUUACCUGCUAUAUAUCCCCACCCGACUCCUGCUCGAUCAACAUCGCAACGCUUCUGGCAGGAAAAGAAAUUAGAAAUGCAAAUGCAAUGCAUAUUGAAAGGCGUCUCCGACGACAACAAACAUUUCCCACAAGGCGCUUUCUGCUAAAUGAAAGCAAAGCAUGCUGUCGAUGUUGUUUCACAGAUAUGCAAUCAGGUGAAUCGGCAGCAGUUAGAGUCCUGAAAGGAGUGUGUUAGGGGAAAAUCAAGGAAAGCCGGAGCAAAGCCGGAGCAAAGCCACCGGGGGCCAGGUCCAUGUGGCAACAUACAUCAAGAAACAGUUGCCAAGGUAACCCGAAAUGUGUCAACAUCCAGCCGUAUCUGCAGCAGACCCGACAACGCUGGAAAUCUAUUAACACGUUCUGACACUUGCAGCCAGAAAUUGCCUUGGCAAAAUCUGGAUUUAACGGGAAGCGAGGGAAAGUGCCGUGGGUACAUCGGCAACUAAAUGUCAAUUUAUUUUACAUCAAACAAGAGCCCGAAGACAACAUGCUAGGCAAGCCGGGGAUGUGAAAGGACCUACAUCCCUCGGCUUCCUUGCCAACUUUUCGCCCAAGUUUUGGCUUUCAAUUUUGCAAAUGAGGUGACAGGAGACGUGCGAAAGUUUUUUGAGAUAACAUCCAGCCAGAACGAAGGUGUGUGUGUUCCCUGUGUGUUGUUUACAAGUUAACUGAUUUACGUUCGUGAUUUUGGCCUGAGAAACUUUUCAUUUCACACGUAUCUACGCAAAACAAAGGGAGAAGGCGCAACUUUGUCUUGGCCCGAACAACGAGCUGUUUGCAAUGGAGAUGCUUAACUCAAAUAGUGCAAAACAAAUUGUGGCUUGUCUGGCUUUCUCAGUCAUCAAGUGAAGGCAAUUGUUUCGGAGCAGGCCAAUCACACCGCCUGUAUUCGCCCGAAGAAAUAAAGAAACCCUUAUGCAUUCAAUAUUUGAUUUGAGGCUGGGAGUAAAAUACAAA